rnacentral:lncRNA from 1 species
AUGGGAUGUCUCUUAAUGGGAUGGGAUCGGUGUUCUUGCCUCUUAGGUGACCACACCAGCAGUGUAGGGACAGGGGAAAUCUUGAAGGCAGAUGGUUGGGGUGGCAGGAGCACACACGAUGGGGAAGAGUGGUCAGGAAAAGCAGGCCCAAGGCUGAGGCGAAGGACCAGAUUGGUGCCAGCUACGCGGAAUAAAAGGCUCCCACUUUGGGGUUCUGAGUCUCCGGGCCUGCAGGCGGAGGCCCGCCAGCCCCAGGGUCUGGGGAUCGUGGGACCCGAGGCGCGUGCGGCAGCGCCCUCUGCCGGCCGCGCGGGGCAAGCCGCCAGUCAACGCAGCUCUGCAGGUGGGAUCCCUCCCGCUGCCUCCGCCCCGGCUCCAUCCCUUCAGAGGACCUCGCCGACUGGUCCUCGGCCGGAUUUCGGGAGGCGCAUCUCUAUCUGGCACCUGUGGACUCAUUAGAGAAGAUGCUCGGAAACAUCCGAUUCAUCCGAGAUCGGAGGCCGCGGGAAGCCACCCAAACCCCGCAGAGGCUGUGCCCCUGGGGGCCCGGGGCCACAGCCUGCUGGGCUGUCGGAGGUGGUUUGGAAGCAGCAUCGCCUUUGGCCAAGACCGCGGGGUCUGCGGACAGAGAGGAGCCCUGGGUUCGCUUUCUGCCUCAUCCAUUUUCCAGCUAGGUGACCUUGGGCAAGGUACUUACGUUUUCCGUGUGCCUUAAUUUCCUCAUCUUUAAGAUGGAGAAAAUGACCCCGACCUUGGCGGGUUAACCUGACGAUUACACGGGAUCAGACGGCCUGGGCUGAAAUUGUGGCACUGGACAUCAGCCAGCUGUGUGCCUGGGGCAAGUUACUUAACCUCUCUGUGCCCUGGUCCCUGCAAAAUAGGGAUAAUAACGGUACUUACCUCCGAGGAUUUGUUGCCUGCAAAGCGCUUAACACCGUGCCUGGCACAGAGUAAGCGCUCAAUAAAUGGUGGCUACUGUGGUUGUGGUCGUUAUUAUUGUUCCUAGGACCGCCGAGCACACGAGCAGAACUCUAGCUGGCGGCUCUUACUAGUCUUUCCUGGGUCCGGCUAUUUCUUUGCGGGCAUUGUUAAAAUCUUUUACCAGGUGCUAGCUGUCCUUAUCAGUGGCCGAAGGACAGCCGGCCUUCCAGAGUUUGGAAAAAUAGAGGUUCCCCUGGAGGAGGGCCAAGAACGCGGCCCGCGGGCUGCGAGGACUGGACCUCCCGCGAGGAUGCUCG